UGUUGAUACAAACUGCAUCCUGGGAGGCAUGUCCCUCUCAGGCCGUUUAAAGAGAAACACUCCGAGGCUCGUCGGAGGCUGCAGGAACCCAGACAGCUCCAUCUACAGCCGGAACACAUGAUAUGGAGAGCGUCCAAUGAGAUGACAGAUGGUGUCUGAGCAAGUGUCUAUGGAAAACAGGGGAGGCAUUAAUCCCACCUGCAGAGACUGGGGAAGGCUGGGUGACACCAUGAUCUGAGGGGCCCAAGGAAAUUGCAAGAGGCUUUAUGAGAGGGAGGCAAGAGGAUUCAAGUCAAAAAGAAAUGUGAUGACAGAAGCAGAAGUUGGAGUGAUUCUCUCUGAAGAUGAAGAAGCCAUGAGCCAAGGAAUGCAGGUAGCCUCUAGCAGCUGGAAAAGAAAGGGAAGAUCUGAUACUUUCAUCUGGAUAUUCAGCCCCACUACGGCCACUCUGAGCCCUAAUCUUCAAGCCUCAGGAUCCAGUUCAGCAGAGGUGCCCCAGGUGGUCAGGCAACUGCCUCAAACUGUGGGUGAGGACAUCGUGUUCCAGAACUUUCUCUACAGGUAAAGCAACCAUCAUAUCUGCUUACCUUGUUCUAGAGGCUUCACCACAGGUAAGGAACCACUGCAUCUCCUCAUUACGUCCCAUUAUCACUUUGGCUAGUAAGGCUAAUCAUGAAGCUAUUCCAAGGAACUGAGACCACUGGUGGGAAUGCACAGAGCUGGGCUCAGGCACAUCUGAGACUGGGCCCUGGCUCCCGAAAAAGCCGCUGCAACUCCUCUGUGAAUACCCUUUUCCACAGGGUUGCAUGAAGAUUAAACCAGGCCGCACAUGUGAAAGCACUGAGCAUGUUGUUUUCCAUGCAGCAAGCAUUCAGUAAAUGUAGCCAGCUAGCUAAUGAUAAAAAUAUUCAUGAAACAGUAAUGUUUGGUUUUACUUAAAUGUACUUGAAUUUCACACUUUCAAGUUUUAUAUCUGAGAUCUAGGCUUUCAGCACAAU